UACGGGGGGGGCAAGCGUUGUUCGGAAUUACUGGGCGUAAAGGGCUCGUAGGCGGCCAACUAAGUCAGACGUGAAAUCCCUCGGCUUAACCGGGGAACUGCAUCUGAUACUGGAUGGCUUGAGAUUGGGAGAGGGAUGCGGAAUUCCAGGUGUAGCGGUGAAAUGCGUAGAUAUCUGGAGGAACACCGGGGGCGAAGGCCGCAUCCUUGACCAACACUGACGCUGAGGAGCGAAAGCCAGGGGAGCAAACGGG
rnacentral:rRNA from 1 species